AGAGUUUGAUCAUGGCUCAGAUUGAACGCUGGCGGCAGGCCUAACACAUGCAAGUCGAGCGGUAACAUUUCUAGCUUGCUAGAAGAUGACGAGCGGCGGACGGGUGAGUAAUGGCUGGGAACCUGCCCUAACGAGGGGGAUAACAGUUGGAAACGACUGCUAAUACCGCAUAAUGUCUUCGGACCAAAGGAGGGGCUCUUCGGACCUUUCGCGUUAGGAUGGGCCCAGUUGGGAUUAGCUUGUUGGUGAGGUAAUGGCUCACCAAGGCGACGAUCCCUAGCUGGUUUGAGAGGAUGAUCANCCACACUGGAACUGAGACACGGUUCAGACUCCUACGGGAGNCANCAGUGGGGAAUAUUGCACAAUGGGCGAAANCCUGAUGCAGCCAUGCCGCGUGUGUGAAGAAGNCCUUCGGGUUGUAAAGCACUUUCAGCAGUGAGGAAGGCAUAACAGUAA
rnacentral:rRNA from 1 species